UACGUAGGGAGCGAGCGUUGUCCGGAAUUACUGGGCGUAAAGGGCGCGUAGGCGGGAUCUUAAGUUAGGUGUGAAAACUCCGGGCUCAACUCGGAGACUGCACUUAAAACUGGGAUUCUUGAGGGCAGGAGAGGAAAGUGGAAUUCCUAGUGUAGCGGUGAAAUGCGUAGAUAUUAGGAGGAACCCCAGUGGCGAAGGCGACUUUCUGGACUGUAUCUGACGCUGAGGCGCGAAAGCGUGGGGAGCAAACGGG
rnacentral:rRNA from 1 species